AUCCUCGGGUGAACUUGUACAAGCUGUCACAAACAUGCUAAUGCUAUUGGAUACAAAGUUCAAACAUUAAUCAACGAUAACGAGAGCUUUAUCUUAUGAUAAGCACACGACGACAAGCAAUUUACCAUGAUUGUUUUGGUUUUGGAAAGGUUGUUUACUUUGCUACUUAAUGCCAACAUUGAUUUGAAUUGUAGAGCUCAGAUGUGCUUUGCACAGGCUAAUGCAAACUCCGCUCUUGACCAAUCAGCGCACGCGUUUCAUUGUGUUUAUUUUAUAAUAUAAAAUGAAAUCGAAGCACUUGCUAUUCCUUGAACGAACCACGUCCGACAACGUAUUAAAGACGAGAAAAUUCAAAAUAAAAGAUAUUUAUGAUAUUUAUCAAUGCAAAUGAUUAUCCAUGUGUCGUGCGUGUUUGGAGUAGAAAUCCAAAGAACGUGCAAUCACCAUUGGAAAAUAGAAUAAAUAAUACACUUAGAAAAAUGUAAAUAUUUUAGAUGAAGGACUUUGAUUUGAAUGAAUGCAUUCCCGAAAA